GUAAAUCAAUCCCAAUUCUAGUGUUUAUUUAAAAAAGAAAAAUUGGAGAUGCUUCAGAGAAAUUUUAUGUAUUAAAGGAGAUAUUUUUAUAUAUAUUUUAUUAAGUUAUAAUUCUAUAAUCUAUAUUAAACAUGUUUAUGAAGUUCUUUGAUUUCCACAGUUUUGUUGUUGACAUUUUCAGUACCUUCUAGAAUGAGCCGUUUCAGGGCUCUGUCACUUUAAGAAAACAAGCAGUUGUGUGCCACACCCUCCCCUCCCCUGCUAGGGCUGCUAUAAACUAGCUGAGAUGCUGCAAUUUCCAGGAGGGGUUUGAAAUAGAGCAGCUGCUCCUUUGGCAGCAACUCUCUCUUGCACAAGAGCUGGUCUAUCUAAUUUCCCCGUUUGUGACAUCACAGACAGACAACUUUUUAAAUGGCUUAUGUUACGCGCAUUAUUCCUAAAACCAAAGACCGACAGAAAACAUAUUGAUGGACUUUAUUUUUUUCAUGUUUGGAGUGUUUCUAAGGCAGUGGAGACCCACGUGGCCAUACAAACGAAUUCAAAAGACUGUGUCAGCAUGACUGAAGCAAGGGAAGUCACAUCUGACUCACAUAAAAGUCAACGCUUUGACUUUAUAUUCUACAUGAGUGUUUUUUGUUUAUUUUAUUUUUUGUGAGUUUCAUAAAUGUAUGAUUUUAACAAACUAUUUUAGGUUAAAUAAGCUGUAGACAAGCUACAGAUAUUUGUUAUUUAAAAAAGUACAAAGUGAAAGUAACUAAUCUUAUUUUCUGCUUUCAUCAAGCUCAAACAAUCCCAGACCCUUUGAGAGAGACUCAUGGGAACUCUGCUUGGUAAAUCCUUUAGUAGAUCUGCAAGGGAAGGAAAAAAAAGAAAGACUUUAAUCCCCUUAAAGGGGAUCUGAAGAGGCUUUACAGUAAACCUCCUCCGGCCACAAGCGGGACCUGAACCAGCAUGCUCUUGCCCUCACCCUGAUGGCCAGCACCUCCCUCACAUCAACAUGGUUUUAUGUUUAAUCACCACACAGGUGCAGGAGAAACUCAGAAUAAACAAAGCAUAACAUAAAGAGGAGGAAAAAUAUGUGUCAUCUAAUCCCAAACAGCACAGCCGGUUCAUGUGAUGCAGACCAAACACUACAAGGUUAGCAACCGAGCUAAACAGUCAGAGAGCAAAAUGAAAGAAAGAAAAAAAGAAACACUAAAAGAAGCUAUUUUUGCAUCAAUAACUACAUGUGCAAAAUGAUUAACAUAUGUAAUGAAACUUUCCUCAAAAGACUCCUGUCAUUUUUCAUUUGUCUAAAUCUACAGUUUGAAAACGUGUGUGCUUUUCAAAAUAAAAGCAUGACCAACUUUGGGCUCCGUACAUUUUUUUGUUUGAUCGUUCGUUCACAGAAACUGCUAAGUGCAAACAUGUCCUGUGAGAAUUUGUUUAAAAAUGAAUAAAAAUUUGUCUCUAAUACAAUCAAAACUGUUUAUUUUUCGUAAUUUAUUGCUUUAAAAAAACUGCCAUUUCAGGAAUGUAAUCCUUUUGUUUGCUGAUGAAAAACGAUCUAAAUGGGUUUUAAAUACUAUAAAGUAAAUCAUUUAAAAUGCAAAAUGAACAGUGGUGGUCGGAGUUUAAAUAUCAUGAAAUGUUCUUACCUCGACAUUGCUGCUGUUCCAUCUGUAACAUCUGCAACAGGAGACGGUCAGUCACAAAAGGACCUCUGCAUUUAUCUUAUUUCCUUCAACAACACUUAAAGGUUCAAUCCGAGACAACAAACAUGUUUUCACUAGUGUCAAUCUGAGUUUUACAUGCAGCUUCUCCUCUGAAGCAACAGAUUCACUGAUUUGUUCUUGUUUACUCGACGAAGGACUUGAAUUAUUAAGUGUGCUGACACCUGAGCAUGCUAUCCUGCAGAAUGGAAGCAGUUUGAACUGAAACGUAUACAGCCUACUCAUGAUGCGAGGGAACAUACCUGCACAAGUGGCAAAGGAGGAAAAAUCUGGUAAGGCCUGUUGCAGGAUCCCCUGCAUCUUUCAGCCUGGAGCUCACAGAAAUUUGGAUUUCAUCAGUUUGAAAGUCCUCUGCCAGCACACAGCGUUUUUCUUUUCUUUCUACCUAAUUGGCAGAAAAAGAGGCUUUGAGCUGUGAUUGGCCAAUAUGCACAGGGCCUCCCUUGUUAAUGAAGUGCACACAAAUUAUUUUGCAAAUGCAUAAACCACAUGACCUCUCGAGAGCAACCCAUAGAAAAAUGGCCACCCUACAGUUCCCCUUCAAUUACAUUCAUCAGCUGUUACUGAAUAAUUUAUUGCAAUUACUUAGUGCAUCAGCUCAGAGUUGUCUGGAAUCACUCUGGAUUUGACCUUUGACAGUGAGACCCCUAGUGGCCACUUAGUGUUAUUUUGACAUUAAUCAGUACUUGCAGACUGAUGUUGGUGAAAAUUGGCUGUUCCUCUGAACAGUACUAAACUUGAGCAUGAAUGACAAUUCAAAAACAAGAAAAGAGUCAAAUUAGUGUGCUUUUUUCUUUUAUUCACAUAUGUUACAUUUUGCAUUAAAUGUCCAAAGUCAUAAAUCCUGGUCAAACUCAAAAGUUUGAGUCAGCACCUACAGUAAUGUACUGUAUUCUCUCGUCAUUCACACAGGAAAAACACACCGAAGCUCUCCGUUACGACUUACACCCAUCACUCGUUGGCUGUUGCGGUCAUUUACAGAGUGGGAAUUGCAAAAAAAAUGAAUAAUUUAAUGAAAAUGAGAAACCCAGCGAACAAAAAAACCGCAUGAAAAAUAUUCUAAAGGAAGUUCUGAAUUUCUCUGAUGAUUCCAAGACGUGGCUCGGCAUUUGCAAACAGCAGGAAUGUCAGCCGUUUAUUCACUUGGCAAAAUGCAUUGAUGCACACGAAUGAAUGAAAUUUCCUCUUUUCUAGAAAGAAAUAUGAUCAGAAAAAUGAAGUGGCUUAAAGGACGUCAUGCACAAGAACGGGUACUGAAGUUGGAUAUUGUAAAGUCGGAAUGCAACUAUGAUUCACAACUACGGGAGUUUGAGAUAAUCAUAAUAAAUGUAUCUGUUCGGCACUGAAAGAACAAUUACUUCUUACUUAAUAGAUCUGAUGCCAUAAUCAAAGUGCUGAGUUUUCCCAAUGAAAAUAAAAACGGAUUCCUGAUUUUCACCUUCAGAUUAAAAAAAAAGAGCGAUUAGAUACCAGGAGUGGGUGCAACCCAGCAACGACCCUAAACAUUAAAGUGAGU